rnacentral:rRNA from 1 species
UUUGCCUACGGGACGCAGCAGUGAAGAAUAUUGGUCAAUGGCCGGAAGGCUGAACCAGCCAAGCCGCGUGAGGGAGGAAGGCGCAGAGCGUCGCAGACCUCUUUUGCCGGGGGACAAAAGGCCGGACUCGUCCGGUCCUGAGGGUACCCGGAGAAAAAGCAUCGGCUAACUCCGUGCCAGCAGCCGCGGUAAUACGGAGGAUGCGAGCGUUAUCCGGAUUCAUUGGGUUUAAAGGGUGCGUAGGCGGAAUGCCAAGUCAGCGGUAAAAUCGCGGGGCUCAACCUCGCUCCGCCGUUGAAACUGGC